UGGGGAAUAUUGCACAAUGGGCGCAAGCCUGAUGCAGCCAUGCCGCGUGUGUGAAGAAGGCCUUCGGGUUGUAAAGCACUUUCAGCGAGGAGGAAGGUGGUGAGCUUAAUACGCUCAUCAAUUGACGUUACUCGCAGAAGAAGCACCGGCUAACUCCGUGCCAGCAGCCGCGGUAAUACGGAGGGUGCAAGCGUUAAUCGGAAUUACUGGGCGUAAAGCGCACGCAGGCGGUUUGUUAAGUCAGAUGUGAAAUCCCCGGGCUCAACCUGGGAACUGCAUUUGAAACUGGCAAGCUAGAGUCUCGUAGAGGGGGGUAGAAUUCCAGGUGUAGCGGUGAAAUGCGUAGAGAUCUGGAGGAAUACCGGUGGCGAAGGCGGCCCCCUGGACGAAGACUGACGCUCAGGUGCGAAAGCGUGGGGCAGCAAACAGGAUUAGAUACCCUGGUAGUCCACGCUGUAAACGAUGUCGAUUUUGGAGGUUGUGCCCUUGAGGCGUGGCUUCCGGAGCUAACGCGUU
rnacentral:rRNA from 1 species